GAAAAAAUAAAAAUUAAAACAUCAAAUUCUCUACUAAAAAGUGAUAAUUUUUAAAAGAUGCUAUAAAGGAAACAGGUGGCUUUAACAUUAGGAUAAGUGCAAAAAGUCUGUACUUUGCAAUGUCAUAUUUAGGAGUAAUUUACUAUACAGUAAAAAUCAACCACUGAAUGUACUGCUUUUCUCUCUAAUGAUUUUCUGAAAGAUGUAACUGAGGCUUAAGAUGAGAGUUUAAAAAUUACGGUUGCGGUAUGGCUAUGGAAAUGCUACAAACACUUGACUUUUGCAUUCAAUCUUCCAUAAGCUGAAAAAAAAAAUAGCCCUAUGUCUCUGAUUGCUACUUUAUAUUAUUUGAGAAUUAAGAAUUAUUUCGAAAAGUCAUAAUAAGCUGAAAGUACUAAACUUCUUGAAUUUUAUGCUUAUUACAUGGUUGACAUGGGAACGAGGCAGCAAAGCCUGAAUUCUAUGAGAAUGUCAGUCAAAGAGCACCUUGUUCCUGUUCUAAAAUUACUCUUCAUUUCCUAAACUCUUUAAUUAUUUAUGACCACCUUAUCAAAUUACCAAGUUAACUUCCUGAAUCAUUCUACAAUCCAUAACUUAUCUGGCUUGUAUAUUUUCUGUCUAUUGUCGCAACUGAAAGACACCAUACUUUGACCUGAUUACUACUGCUAAAUAGUUUGUUAGGACUGAAUUUCUCAUUAUUUUAAACCACACUUGUUUAUUAUCAGCUUCAAAAAAAUGGUAAACAUUCUUAAAUUCAGUGUGUUCUUUCCUAGUGACACUUGGUAUCCAGAUGAAAUGGCACAUCACUACCAAAUUGGAAAAGAAACCACUUUUUCUUAUGUAUGUAAACCUGAAAAAAACCUGAGCAUGUAGAAAGUCAUUAUAAUUAUAAAAUUGAUAAAACAUAUCCUAGGCUACAGAUAUGCAUAAGUGUUCUAAGACCAGUAAUUCUCUGAAGAUAUUGAAGAUGAUCACAUUACAGCAAUUACAGCUUUUAUUCCUUUGUUAAAGAUAUGUUUGUGUGGAUCUAUUUCUGGGCUCUCUAAUUUGUUCCACAGAAGAGGAAAGCUUUUAACUUUCCACUUUGUAUCCUGCUAUAUAUGUUACUUCUCUAAAAAGUAAUAAGUCACCUUUUACCAGAAGGAAGUUCAGCUAAUUUUUAAAAGUAUUUAUCCUUCAGUGGUAGAAUUACAGAUGUUUUUUCAAUAUGUUUGUUCGAAGUUUUUUUAAUGCAUUACGCAUAUAUUAUUUGGUCAUAUGGGUGAGGAGCAUAAUCAUGUAGAGACACAACGUAAGUGAGGUGCACACUGUGGAAGUAACACCAAGUUUCACCAGCAAGAGGAAAAGAACUCUGGAUAAUAAAGGGGACUAGUGAGAAUGUGCAAGACUGAGCUGCUGUGGGGCAAUCAGAGGAGAGGAGGGAUCUGGAAGCUGAGAGUGGGGAAAAGAACUACAUCUCUGGAAACUGUGUGAAUGAAAUGCCACGUGCUAUAUGAUGUAUCCCUUUCCCCACUUUCUGUAUUAUUCAGAAAAUAUUAUUAUUCAAUAAACAAUUCAAAAUCUCAGUGGUUUAUAAAAGCAAAUAUUUAUUUCUUGCUCCUGGGUCUACAGAUGUUGACUGCAGCUGUGUUGAGCCUGGUUGAGUUCCUAGGGUCAGCUAGGCUUGAGUUCACAUAUGCAAUAGGUGUGUCUCAUUCUGGGAUGCAGGUUGAAGAAGGCAUGCUACCUCAGUGUGCUCUUUUCACGGCAAAUAGCAAGAGUUCAAGAGGACAAGUGGCCUUUACUCAGAACUGGCACACCCUCAUGUCCCAUACUGCAUUAGGGUAAGGCAAGUUAUCUGGCCAGCCAAGUCAGUGGGGUGUGGUAGUAAACUCCACCCAAUGCCCAAUGGGGUAAGGGAAGGAAGAAGUGAACACUUGCUAAACGAAUAAUCCAACCACACAAAACUUCAGUAAAACCAGAAACAUAAUGCUACAUUUAUUUAGUGAAUCAAAAGAGUAUGCUGAGUUUUGCAAUAUUUUCUGUAUAGAACUGAAAGUACAAGCCUACGUGAAUGAGAACCAGCAAAAAACUGGAUUAUACUUUUAUUUCUUCCACAUAAAGAGGAAAGAAAACGAUCUAUAUGCUGUUAAUCAACAACUGUUUAUUACAUUCUGUUCUAAAUAAUUUAAUUUAAAUUUGUCUAUUUGGCAUCUAUUAAUCAUGGGGCCAAACUAACAACCAAAGUUGUUUACAUCUCCCCUGCAGUCUAGCUUUCACAGGUGCAUGGAAAUCAUAUUACAAACCUUCCAACCACGAACUCAAACAUCUGUGUAUCACUUCCUGCCCAAUAGGGGACAUUCUCACCUAACAACUUUCUACUUCUAUAGUAAUAAGGCUCUGGCAUAGGCUUUUCUCUUACUCCUUCCUGCCUCCUGACCAACACCAGUGCUUUCACAUAAGGCACUGCAUGGCAUGGCUUGCCCCCUCCUCUUGGGAAAUGAAAGAAAUAAAAAUCUUUCAGUGGCAUUAGCCUCUCCCUGUCAGCACUCAUUCACCUCUAUAAAUUAAAAUCCCUGGGUACACUUUAACAUGCUAAGGGGCAUAAAGACUCCUAUGUCUUUCCUAGCACUCUCUUACUGAGCUGCCUCAGAGGUCCACAAAGCAUUCUUUCAGACUACAAUGAAUAAUAAACCCAACUUGUUCAACAACAGGUGUAUUCCUGCUAGUCUUCAGCAGGAGGGCACUGACACUGCCAAAUGAUGAAGAAUCAAGGCCUGAAGGGAUAAAUGGCUCAUCAAGGUGACACAUUCAGUUUUUCACAGAGAGUGAUUAGAAUCUGGACUUCCUGAUAUCCACAUCAAUAUGCAUCUUAUUAUCUCUUGUGCAUCAGGGUGGAAACCUACCAGAUUUCUUAAAAAUAUAACCUUUUCUCAUUCAAGAUUGGACCUAAUGGUUUAAACUCUUGCAAGUUGAAGUGUACUUCCCUAUAGCAUCAAGCUUUUCCAGUGACCUUCCUUUGCAGUUUACCUUAGUCUCUCACCUUCAGUCACAUGCUGCAAUUUUUCAUUAACGAUAAUGGCACUCCCUCCAUACUCUCAUUUGAACACCACUUCCCACACGUCCAGCUCACUUUCUCUAGUCAUGAAACACUAAAAAUCCUUCCAAGCAACUCCUCCACUGCCUUUCACAAAUCUCACCAUUUUUUCACUGACCUUUACCCCUAUACCACCACACCAUCAAUUCCCUACUACUUGAUUAAAUUCUGUAGUUGAUUCUUUAAAUCUUAAAUCAUCACCUUCAAUAUUUUAGCCCCCUUUUCCUUUUCUUACUUACUGGCUAAACCACAGCCUUAUUUAAAAAUAAAUCUAUCCUUACCUGAGACACUGAAUGUGACUGAAGGAAAAGUCAAAGCCAUGCUGUCUGUUCUCACUUUCAUUUCAUAGAAGUCCACCUCAAGUGGGCCUUUAAUAUUGAACAGUAAUUAUAACCUAUUUUCUUGUUCCAUUCCUAUUCUCAUUCUCCUCGACCAUUUGGUAUUUCCUUUUUCCUUAAACCUCCUCAAACUCACUUUCAGCAGUUGUUCUUGCUUUCUGAUUCAUUGAGAAAAAAGACGCAGUGAGAUUUCACAGGCCUCCAAGACAUCUACCCACUUAUCUGCACCUUGGCAAAAAUGUUAUACUUACUUUCCUAUUACUGUAGAUGAAACAUCCAUGUUCUUAGUAAAGGCCAGCCUCUCCUUUUGAGCACUAGAGCCCAUCCUCUCCAGCUAAUUCACAGCAUGGAUCCAUCAGUCUCCCCUACUUCUCAAGUAUCUCAUGGAUCACCAAUUUUCUUCUUCUACUGGAUAAUGAAAAUUAGCAUAAAUGCAUGCUGACGUUUCCUUAUAAAAACAGCAUUGUGAUCAUACUCCCUCCAGCAACUAUCACCUUAUUUGUUUAAUUUGCUUUACAGUAAAAUUUCUUUGAACUAUUGCCUAUAAUAACUGCCUCCAAUUUAUUUCUCUCCAUUCUCAAUGCAGUUCCUCUCAUCCUUUUGCACUUGAUUGAUAUCAUUUUUACUGUUCUCAACCAGGAUCUCCACUGGGUGAAAUCAACAGUCAUUUCUCAGUCACCAUAUUAAUACAGCAACAUUUGAAACAAGUGAUCAUUGCAUGCUCCUUGAAACACUUUCUUCACUUGGGUUCCAAGACACUGCAAUUGACCUACCGCUCUCGUCACACCUUCUCAGUCAGCUUUGCUAGUUCCACAUCAUUUCCAAUAUCAGAGUGUUCCAGGAUCACUCCAUUGGUACCUUCAUUUUUCUUUUUAAAAACUGGAGUCAUUUUUCAAUCCUAUUAUAGUACACAUACAAAAUAAAAGCAAAUCCUGCCAGGGGCAACUAAAAAAUACCUGGAAUUCUAUACCUAGAAUUCUUUAAAACAAAUUUAUAUUCAUUUCUUGUUGAUUUAAUUCAGUCUCAUGAAAUAUAAAUACCACCUAUAUAUUAUUAUUUUCCAAACUGAGAUGUUCAGACUGGUCCACUCUCCUGAACUCUAAGCUGGUUCAGGUAUCUAGAUGCCUAGUUGAUACUUGAAUUUGGUUGUCUUCAUGCCCCUCACAUUCAACACAUCCAAACAGACCUCCUGACAUUCUAACACCAACUUGCUCCCUACACUGUCUUCUUGAUCUUAGAACAGGUAAAUUCAUUCUUCUACUCCGUUCAAAACACUGGUAUAUCCUUUAAUUCUUUCUCAUAUCCAAUAAAUUAGCAAAUCCUCACCUUACUACUUCCAAAUGUAUCCAAAAUUUGACCAUGGCUAAAAGUUUAUUCCAGGCUAAUGCCAUUUCCAAUCUACAUUAUUUUACUAUAAUAUUUUAUACUACCUUUUUACUAGUCUUCCUGCUUCUUCCCUUCAUCUUAAUCCUAGAUCUAUGAAAGGGUAAUUUCCUUCCAAAGUUUAUGAGCUGCCUUCCUUCUAUUCUAUUGUAAUGUCUCUUUCAGCUUUCUACUAUCUUAUUUCAGGUUCUUACUUAUUUUUUUGUCUAAUUACAAUCAUGUCCUUUUCAACUGUCUCCAUGCCUCCAAUGUAAUUAUCCUCUAAUCCAUUCCCCACAUUACUGCCAACAUAAACUUUGUAAAACAAUAGUCAUUUUAUUGCUUAAAACUAUUCAAUGGAUUUCCACUUUCUACAAAUUAAAGUCUAAGAUCCUUAGCAUCUUAGAGUCCUAAGGCAGAGCCCUCCAGCACCGACCAAGAUGGUGAAUCAGACUUCUACUGGUAUCAGACUAAAUUUUCCGCCAAAAACAACUAUAAAAGCUCACCAGUAUAAAUUACAUAAGUCACUAUCUUCAGAAAUUGGACAGCAAUCAGCUCAGACAAGAUUUGAAGGGCUAAUAUUACUGAAGGAAGGCAAUUUGAGAAAAGUCCUAUAUUAAACCCACAACUUAAGCAUAAAGCAGCAGUCUCACCAGGCAGAGGGGAAAAAAGUUGGACUUUGGGUCUGCUAAAGGUGCUAGAAUUUGAAAGGCAACAUGUUGGAGAGGAGAAAGCCACAGAAAAGUGAGCUCUCAAAUUCCACAUGCAAUUUUCCCUUGCUGUUUUGGCUGACUCCUAAGCUCAUUAAUACACCAUGAGACAUGAAGACAAUACACAUCAAUGUGAUGUAGCAAAACACAUCAAUGGGAGGAUAAAGAGAUGAGCAGCGAUUUCACACAUGUUAUUCUUUCUAGCUGAAAUAUAAUUUAGAACAUGGUGCUUAGAGGCCAUGGCUGGUAUUCAAAUCACGCCAAGAAGGAGGAGUAAAGAAUUGAAGCUUUCGUUAGGGCACUUGGAAGGACCAUGCUUAGGAGUAAGAUCCACAGAUAAAGAUUAGGUGCUAAAGUAGGUCAGCCGUUAAAAAGCACAAUAACAAAGCUCAACAGGAGCAAAGUGAUUUGUUGGUUAUCCCCGUACCUUUCAGCAGAAAAACUAAUUCUACUAGGAAGAAUGUUACUCCUAACCUCAUCCAGAACCUCUACAAUUGUUUAUAUGCAACUUGUGGAACUCAGUAAAAAAUUUCACUGCCUGCCAAAGAGGAAAGGGGGGGGGAGGGGACUAAGCACUCACCUUCACAAAUAGAUUCACAGAUGAAGGGUACUGUAGGUAGGCGAGGAGUGACGCUGAGGAACGCCUUUUUUCCUCUUCAUCUGUACAGUGUCCUUUCCCUCCUCCUCAUAGGCUUCCCUUUGGGGCACCUGUUGCCACUCUUUCUGAAACCAUGGCAGGGACAGGGGUCCCUGCACGGGCCCAGAAUCCUAGUCUCUGCUAAUUUCCAGAAACACUGGCUGAAAGGGCCAGGGGGAUGUAGGAAGAGAGUAAGGUCCAGGACUGAGGCUUCUGCCAUUAAGUGGGCUCAGAAGAGCAGCCAAACAAGGACAACAAAAGGGUAGAGUAACUGGAGAAAUUUUCGGCAGAACGAGGCCUUCAAGGUCUUGAGUCCCCACGUGGAUACAGGCCCUAUGUUGCACAAUGGCAGCUUUUCCACCGCCAUUAGCCUUUCCCUGCGUUCUGCUAACUGACCCUGGACCCAGAAAACCACACAACCGCCCACGGGCUACUUCGAAACUCGCGGUAGGGUGGAGACGCCUACAGCCUGUGCCUGAGUUCCCACAGCCAGUGAGCUGUAGUGCACAUGCGCACGCACGCGGCUUCUGCAGCGCGCAUGUGCAGUAGAGUUUAGCUGCCUUGCCUCGCUGCAAUCUUCCCCGCGUUGCACAGCGCGAGGCUGAGGAGCUUCCCGUGAGCUCUUUGCCGUGCUGCUGUGAUCGCGCGCUGGCGUGCCAAUCAAGAGGGAGCAGCGAAAAGCAGAGUCAGCAAUUCUUCCACCUGUCUCCUGCUUAGCUGAUAACUUGCUUCCUGUUUCACUGAAAAGAAAAUAAGCAACUAGAAGAGAAUUUUCACCAGCUCUCAAGACCACAGUUGCCGGCUUGGCUGUACCUUGACUCUCUCGUUACUGUGAAAUGUCCCAACUGCCAUACAGGAUCUUGGAUCCGCCAGUUUCCAUAAACUCCACAUCUGUAUGCUGUCCUCAAACAGAUGAGUUUUCUACUGCAUCCAGAUUUUUAGAUUUCUGAGAAUUUACCAUCAGCUACUCUCGUCCUACUGGAAAGCAAAAAUCUCCCUUUCUCAGCUUUUUUUACUUUGUUGCAUUGUUCUAACUUCAUUUUCACCAUUCAGAACUCUAUUGACAGUCUGCUGAUGGUGGCGGACACUGCUGUGCCUGUCUCAUAAUGUUUGUUCACUCUUACUAAUAGCAUCCCAGUUUUGCUCAAAGUAGUCACUCAAAAUGUAUCUUUUCCAACAUCUCUUCUAGUAAAGAUUAUCCACAUAACAAAGUUCUGGCCAGUGACCACUUUGGGGGGAUUUAAUUCAAUAUCUUAGGACAUUUGAUGAUCAAUAUUACUAUUAUCAGAGGUGUUAUUAAAAAUAAUAUUACAAAUUAAGCCAAUUUUAUACAAAGUAGCAAUUAUUUUAUGAGUUAGACUCGAGCUUCCAACAAAACUAGCCCUUAUCCAUGUGACAAUGUUAUCAUGGAUUGAGAUUUAAAUGAAUGACCAAAUCCCUUGGUUAAUUAUUGAUUCCAAGUCUGCGCUAGUCAUAAUCAUAUAUCCUCUUUCCUAUUACAAGGAGGUACUGACAAAGGUUACCAACAGACCUUAUGUUUAAGUAGUGCUUAGCCUUCCCUCAGCAAUAAAAUCCCAGUCAAUUUAAAUAAGUUUCCAAUUCCAGCCAAUAAUUUUGUAUGUCUAGUUUUUGUUUAUGUGUGGGACUUAGCUGUUAGAGAGCAUUUAUGUAGAUUACAUGCCCCAUUUAUGAAUUCCUAUAAAUUAAUGGGCUGUUAGUUUCUCACAGGUUCACUCCUUGAGUUUCCACUGCCAAGAUCCCAAUCCACUCUUUUUUCUACUUUCUAUCUGGAGAAGCAUGAUAAACAGCACCGCUUUUUUAGUGUGCAGGAUGUUUUCCAUCUUUGUUUCUGGGUAUCAUGUCUAUUUACCUGUUC
ensembl:lncRNA